rnacentral:rRNA from 1 species
ACUCCCAUGUAGUAAACUAAGAGCUAUUUAAAGGGGGUACAGCCCCUUUAACAGAGAACACAACCUCCACUAGCGGAUAACCCCAACCUCACCCAACCUGUGGGCCCUAAAGCAGCCACCCUUAAAGAAUGCGUCAAAGCUCUAAACCAAAAAAUUCAAAAACAACGCGACUCCCUACAUCCCUAGCAGGCCAACCUAUAACAAUAGAUGAAUUAAUACUAGAACGAGUAACCAGGAUACUAAAUCCCCUCAAGCGCUAGCCUGCACACCAUUAACAGCAUAACUGCAAUAACACACCCCCUCCCCCGACUAAACAUUGAACAUACCCUGUCAACCCAACCCAGGAGCGCACACUAGGACGAUUAAAAUCUGCAGAAGGAACUCGGCAAACCCAAGGCCCGACUGUUUACCAAAAACAUAGCCUUCAGCCAAACAAGUAUUGAAGGUGACGCCUGCCCAGUGACACCACGUUCAACGGCCGCGGUAUCCUAACCGUGCAAAGGUAGCGCAAUCAACUGUCCCAUAAAUCGACACCUUGUAUGAAUGGCUAAACGAGGCCUUAACUGUCUCCUGCAGACAAUCAGUGAAACUGAUCUCCCUGUGCAAAAGCAGGGAUAAAUACAUAAGACGAGAAGACCCUGUGGAACUUCAAAAUCAAUAGCCACUACCCAUCACAACCUACAAACCUACUAGGCCUACCACUCAACAACAUUGGCUAAUAUUUUUAGGUUGGGGCGACCCUGGAGAAAAACAAAUCCUCCAAAAAUAAGGCCAAACCCCUUAACCAAGAGCAACCCCUCAACGUACUAACAGUACCCCGACCCAAUAAAAUUGAUCAACGAACCAAGCUACCCCAGGGAUAACAGCGCAAUCUCCCCCAAGAGCCCCUAUCGACGAGGAGGUUUACGACCUCGAUGUUGGAUCA